AUUAAACKACUCUCGGCAACGGAUAUCUCGGCUCUCGCAUCGAUGAAGAACGUAGCGAAAUGCGAUACUUGGUGUGAAUUGCAGAAUCCCGUGAACCAUCGAGUCUUUGAACGCAAGUUGCGCCCGAAGCCUUCGGGCCGAGGGCACGUCUGCCUGGGCGUC
rnacentral:rRNA from 1 species